rnacentral:rRNA from 1 species
AUACGUCCUACGGGAGAAAGUGGGGGCUCUUCGGACCUCACGCUAUCAGAUGAGCCUAGGUCGGAUUAGCUAGUUGGUGAGGUAAUGGCUCACCAAGGCGACGAUCCGUAACUGGUCUGAGAGGAUGAUCAGUCACACUGGAACUGAGACACGGUCCAGACUCUAUACGGGAGGCAGCAGUGGGGAAUAUUGGACAAUGGGCGAAAGCCUGAUCCAGCCAUGCCGCGUGUGUGAAGAAGGUCUUCGGAUUGUAAAGCACUUUAAGUUGGGAGGAAGGGUUGUACGUUAAUACCGUGCAAUUUUGACGUUACCGACAGAAUAAGCACCGGCUAACUCUGUGCCAGCAGCCGCGGUAAUACAGAGGGUGCAAGCGUUAAUCGGAAUUACUGGGCGUAAAGCGCGCGUAGGUGGUUUGUUAAGUUGGAUGUGAAAUCCCCGGGCUCAACCUGGGAACUGCAUCCAAAAC